rnacentral:lncRNA from 1 species
CAGAUUUGGAAAGCACUUGGUGGAAAUCAUGAACUUACUGCCAAGUGUGAAAUAGGAGUAGAUCUGUGUACAGCCAGUUGAAGGCUCUUGAAUUUCACUUACCUGCAUUGUCUCUGAAAGGUAAAAGGGAAUAGAGCAGGUGCAUUCUUUGUCAAAAUUAAUAGCAUCUUCUCGCAGUUCUGCACAAUUUGCACAUAUUUUUGUGUAUUUAAUCUAUCAGACAGGGAAAAGAACAAUUAUUAAUUGAAAAGUUACAUGAGUACAUUUCUUAAAAAUCAAGUCCUGAGUCCACCACCUAAGCCUUCAAGCUCUCUGGGUCAAGGGCAUGGAUGCUGGGACAUGACU